UCUAAUCAGCAAGUAGGAUUGCAAAUAAGAACGCCUUUAUGAAGGCCCCAGUUUUUACAGUAAGUCCCUCACUGCCCGCACACAACGAUGCCAAGUUCCAACCUGAUUUGCGUCACCACAGUUGUGGGUUUGCGCCAAGGUUAGUUAUCAAGCGUAGUGAGAGGAUAAAUUCACAAAAUGAGGGACAAAAAUAAGACGAGAGCUGGGUACAACGGAAGUGAAACCUGGGUGGAGGUCAUCUCCAAAUCACAGUGGAAGGACGAUGUCAGGGAUUUGUCCCAACACUCUUUUGAUGAAAGAAUUUGAUUAGUGGACUAUUGCACUCUUAAAGGCAAAGAAAACAAAGCACGGCAGUGCCCCGCUCGGUCGGGAUUCAAAAGCAGUGAAAGCUGCCUUGCUCUGUUUAAAGCGACAGGACUGCUCUGCUAUUCAGGAAAGACUAAGGAGGCAGCGGUAUCUGCGAAGUCCUGCGAGCUCCCGGCGACAGGAGUAGCGCGAGCAGCUGACGGGGGAAAUCCACUGGCAGCGAGUCGGAUGAGUCAGCGCUGAGUCACGCUCGGCGCUACGUGCCGGCCUGGGCGGCCGCAGCCCGGGGCCCGCAGCCGCGGAGUCAGCAGAGAUCCGCCGCUUCCUGGAAGACCCUCCCUGCGCCUGAGGGAGGGGGCGGCGUCGCCUCCUCGCGCCGCCAAGGCCCCCUGCAGUCACACACUCGCCCGCACGCACGACCUCCUCGCUCCAUCCUGGGGACAUCCAGGAUUCACCCCCGAGGGGAAGAGUCCCAUGUGACAAAUGGUUAGAGCUUGGGCGGAUGCUUUCAUCCCAUGUGUUUCCUCAAAGCUGAGAUUCCAGCGCUCUUGCUCUUUUCGUGUUGUUGUUAGGUUUUUAACUUUUUUUUCCCGUUUCCUGGCAGAGGAUUAACACGCUGAUCUUUUUAUAGUUUCCAAUAUUUUAAAUGAAGCACAAGAAGAAUGGAUUAAUAAAACGUGUUGAAACUUAAGCAUCAAAUCGUCACACUGCUCUGGGUUCUAAAAUGACUAGAAAGUGACUGCACUAGAAGCUUUGAAUGUUGGGUAACUGGGAAGGAUUAACUCGGUUCUGAUGUGCCCUUUGUUAAUGAAAAUCAAAUCUUUGCUAUUUGUCCAACCACCCUUAUAAUAACUAAAUUUGUCUAAAGACUGGAGACAUGUGUGGUAAUAAUUAGAUAUGGAGUCACCAAAGAACAGGGUAGCCAUGCCUUUGUGUUUUCUGUGCCUUAACUAACAUUCUGUUGUCCUAAUGUGCAAAUGAUACAUUGUUGGUUUUAAAAAAUAUUAUGGCAAUGUUUAUAUCCAUGCUGAGAGUUAAUAGCAGGUAUUGUGUCAUGAAGUGCAGCUAGUCAGUGAGAUAGUCCUGAUACAGGUGGGGUAAUUAUUAUUUAGGGACAAUUUGCGGCUGUUUUUCAAGACAGACUGGGUCUUUAGAAGUUGUGCCAGCUGUUACCGGUGGUUCUGCUUCAUUGGGAGAAUUAUUUCCCUCCUUAUCCCUGUGUACGUGUGAAAUGAUGCAAAACAAUAGAGUGUUCGUGUAGUUUGACUGCUUUUCUUGCAGGCAAGGAGACUGAAGUAAUUAGAGGUUGAACUGACUCACCAAGGUUACUGGAGAAGCAUGACUACCCAAUUUUGUAAAGGAGAGAAAAGCCCCAAACAAAUACAAAUAGGAAACAUGAAAAUACGAGAGAGGAUCAGAGCCCAAGAAAGCAAAAUGAGUAAUAUGGACCAGAAAUGGAAUCUCAUAUACUUGAACUAGUUGUAAUGGGAGGUAUACUUAAUGCGCUAGCCUUAAAAAAAAAGUCAAAUUAUUGCAUAAAAAUUUAAGAUUUUAAGUAAUUACAUACAUCAUUUGAUGUUUUAAAAACUGUGCCUGAUUCUGAUUCAUUAUUCUUAGCAUAUCCAUAUGGAUAUUGCCUUGGCAUUUACCAAGUCAGACUUCAGUUCAAAAACCCAAAUUCAUCUUAUGACGGUGUGAACUUGGACUUGAUACUUAGCUUCUCUAAGCCUAUAAUGGAGAUUAUAAUCACCAUUUCACCUGUUUGCAAAGCAGGCAGGAUUAAAUGAGAUGAUGCCUAUAAAAGGUUUAGCACAUUUCCAUGCAAAAAAUUUCUCAGUAAACGAAGCUUGUAUUGUGUUAUCAGUAUUAUUGAACUUGACUAAACUAUUGAUCAGAUCACAAAGAGGUAGUACAGGUACUUUGUCCAGAUCCUAGAACUAAUAAAAGCUUUGGGAAUGUACAUCACAAACGUAGUGGUUCAGUGACUGAUAUGGUUUGGCUCUGUGUCCCCACCCAAAUCUCAUCUCGAUUUGUAAUCCCCACGUGUCAAGGGAGGGACCUGUAAUCCCCAUGUAUCGAGGGAGGGAGGGGAUUGGACCAUGGAGUCAGUUUCCCCCAUGCUGUUCUCGUGAUAGUGAGUUCUCAUGAGAUCUGAUGGUUUUAUAAGUGUUUGGUAGCCCCUCCUUCAUUCUUCUCUUUCGUUCCACUUUCUGAAAAAGGUCCUCGCUUCCCCUUCACUUUCUGCCAUGAUUGUAAGUUUCCUGAGGCCCCCCACCCAGCCAUGUGAAACUGUGAGUCAAUUAAACCUCUUUUUUUU
rnacentral:lncRNA from 1 species